rnacentral:lncRNA from 1 species
UUUAUUUUAGUGUAUUUGUAAAUGUUGUCAAGUUAUUCGGUUCUCCAGCCAUUGACUUAAGUUUAGUUUAAUAUUAAUUUAUAUCUAUUAGCGGGAGUUUAGUCAAUAAUAGAACAUUAAGUAAUGUAUAAUUUAUUUAUAUUAUGUAAAAUGUAUAAAUAAAAUACUUUAUUAUAGUGUUAAUAAUGAAAACUUGUAGUUACUGAAAGAUAAGAGAGAGAAUCGGACAAGGUGUAGCGUGUCAACAUCAACCAAGGUGGACGUCUUGUUUAUUGUUGUUAAUUUUGUUAGUAAAUGUUAAUUUGUGGGCCUUCCUCCCUCCCUCGUGUUUACUGCUGCAAUUGGUUGUUACUGUAGUGUUAAGACAACUACCAUAUUGCUGCCUCGCUGAUCGUGGUUAAUUAAGUUCCUCAUGUCAUUCGUCGAGGACGGUGACGUGAACAUGUAAGAUAUGGGCCACAAGACGAAGGUUUGUUUUGGUUAACGGGUCUCUUGCUGCGCCACAUUGGAAGCUCUCUGCUAUAACAUAAGGUACAGUACAGUGUAUAUCUUUGUGGUU